GGUUUGUAGCUCAAUUGUUGAGCGCUUGCCUUGCAUGCAUAAGGCACUGGGUUCGAUCCUCAGCACUA
rnacentral:tRNA from 1 species